GUUUACGUUAUUUAAGAAAUUAUUUUGAAUACAUUUUUUUUUCUACUCUUCUGGUUGGCAUGUAAUUCAGUUACAAGCCUUUUGUCAUCUCAGUUUUCCUGCAGGGUUUAUGAUCGAUAUUAGCAGCGAUGUCGAUUGUUCUUCAAAAUUAUCUAUAGUUGCAAAAUAAAUGGUUUUCAUUGUCUAUGUAGAAAGAAGGAAGAAAAACAGAAUGAAUGAAUGCAUAAUGGAUUUACAGUGCUUGUACCUGGGGAAUAGCAUUUUUUUCUGAAAAACGCAUCAGCUGUUUCUAGACGACAUACAACUUGUGGAGACUAGGAAAAUCAAACUUAUACCGUAAACUUUUGUCAAAUAUGUAAAUGACAUUUCUUUUUUGAAUAGAAGGUUUUCAAAUAAGAUUGCUUGAAAAUUUCA